GAAAUGCGAUAAUUAAUGUGAAUUGCAGAGUUCAGUGAAUCAUCGAGUCUUUGAACGCACAUUGCGCCCCCUGGUAUUCCGGGGGGCAUGCCUGUCCGAGCGUCAUUGCUGCCCUCAAGCACGGCUUGUGUGUUGGGCUUCCGUCCCUGGCAACGGGGACGGGCCCAAAAGGCAGUGGCGGCACCAUGUCUGGUCCUCGAGCGUAUGGGGCUUUGUCACCCGCUCCCGUAGGUCCAGCUGGCAGCUAGCCUCGCAACCAAUCUUUUUAACCAGGUUGACCUCGGAUCAGGUAGGGAUACCCGCUGAACUUAAGC
rnacentral:misc_RNA from 1 species